rnacentral:misc_RNA from 1 species
GAUGAAGAACGUAGCGAAAUGCGAUAAGUAAUGUGAAUUGCAGAAUUCAGUGAAUCAUCGAAUCUUUGAACGCACCUUGCGCCUUUUGGUAUUCCGAAAGGCACACCUGUUUGAGCGUCAUGAAUACCUCAAUCUCCAUCUUUUCUUCGGAUUGAGGGGUGACUUGGAUGUUGAGCCCUGCUGGUAUGCUAUAUCAGCUGGCUUUAAACUUAUUAGCCGGCUCUGUACUGGAUCGGUUUGACUCGACGUGAUAAUAUUAUCGUUGAGGAUGCAUGUCUCAUGCAGCCGGAAAGUAUCAAAGCAGCUUCUAGCUUGCCUUUAGUGCACUUUUACAUUUUAGACCUCAGAUCAGGUGGGACUACCCGCUGAACUUAAGCAUAUCAAUAAGCGGAGGA